rnacentral:rRNA from 1 species
UGAUACCACCUGAAUCCGUACUACCCUGAUCUCGUCUGAUCUCGAACGCUAAGCAAGAUUGGGCCUGGUUAGUGCUUAAAUGGGAGACCACUGGGAAUAUCGAGUGUGGCAGUGG